rnacentral:rRNA from 1 species
AUGUAAUCUCUCUAGCCUGAUAAAAAUAUAACCAUAAUACCUUUACCUAUAAAUCUAAAUAAUAAAACAUUCUACAUUUUUAGUAUAUGCGAUAAAAAAAUUAAUCAGAGUAAUAACGAAAGUACCGCAAGGGAAAGAUGAAAUAAAAAUGAAAUAACUUAAUACACUAAAAAGCAGAGAUAAAACCUCGUACCUUUUGCAUCAUGGCCUAACAAGUCUAACCAGGCAAAAUGAAUUUUAGUCUGACUUCCCGAAACUAAGUGAGCUACUCCGGGGCUACUUCAUGUUUAACCCGUCUCUGUGGCAAAAGAGUGGGGAGACCCUCGAGUAGAGGCAAAAAACCUAUCGAACUUAGUAAUAGCUGGUUGCUUAGGAAAAGGAUAUAAGUUCUAUCUUAAAAAUAUAAAGCACAAUAAGCCCAUCAAAUUUUUAAGAAUUAUUCAAUAAGGGUACAGCCUUAUUGAAAAAGGAAACAACCUAAAACUGCGGAUAAUGAUUAAUAUUCUUAAGGAAUUAAAGGUUAAGUUGGCCUAAAAGCAGCCAUCUUUUAAAUAGCGUCAAAGCUUCACCUUUUUUAACCUCAAAUUAUACUAUUUUUUCAAAAUCCUAAAUUACUACUAAGCCAUUCUAUACUCUUAUAGAAAAGUUAAUGUUAGGACUAGUAACACAGAAUUAAUUCUCUUACAUGUAAGUCUAAAUCAACACGAAUAACUCUUUGAUAAUUACCCAGCCAUGAAAAGAAAGUAGCACCCCUAAAACUACAAAAAUCCUACUUACGUAACUGUUAACCAAACACAUGAACAUGAAAGAAAGAUAAAAAAAUUAGGAAGGAACUCGGCAAACAUAAGUCUCGCCUGUUUACCAAAAACAUCGCCUCUUGAACCUUAUAAGAGGUAACGCCUGCCCAGUGAUUUAAUAUUUAACGGCCGCGGUAUUCUGACCGUGCAAAGGUAGCGUAAUCAUUUGUCUUUUAAAUAAAGACUAGUAUGAAUGGCAUCACGAGGACUUAACUGUCUCCCUAAUUUAAUCAGUGAAACUGAUCUUCCUGUGAAAAAGCAGGAAUAACUUAAUAAGACGAGAAGACCCUAUGGAGCUUAAAAUCUACAUCUACCUAUAUUUUCUGUUAAUAAAAUACCACUAAUUUAUAGACUAGAUAAAGUUUUUGGUUGGGGCGACAAUGGAGAACAACUAAUCCUCCAUGAAGAAAAACUUUGAGUUACCACUCUUAGUAGUAGCAAGCCUAACUUAAAUUGAUCCAAAUUUUUUGAUCAACGGAACAAGUUACCCUAGGGAUAACAGCGCAAUCCAUUUCAAGAGUUCAUAUCGACAAGUGGGUUUACGACCUCGAU